rnacentral:rRNA from 1 species
UACGUAGGGGGCAAGCGUUGUCCGGAAUUAUUGGGCGUAAAGAGCUCGUAGGCGAGUUUGUUGCGUCGGCUGUGAAAUCCCGAGGCUCAACCUCGGGUCUGCAGUCGAUACGAGCAAACUAGAGUGUUGCAGGGGAGACUGGAAGUUCCUGGUGUAGCGGUGAAAUGCGCAGAUAUCAGGAGGAACACCGGUGGCGAAGGCGGGUCUCUGGGCAACAACUGACGCUGAGGAGCGAAAGCGUGGGGAGCGAACAGG